rnacentral:rRNA from 1 species
UACGAAGGGGGCUAGCGUUGCUCGGAAUCACUGGGCGUAAAGCGCACGUAGGCGGACUUUUAAGUCAGGGGUGAAAUCCUGGAGCUCAACCUCAGAACUGCCUUUGAUACUGGAAGUCUUGAGUUCGAGAGAGGUGAGUGGAACUGCGAGUGUAGAGGUGAAAUUCGUAGAUAUUCGCAAGAACACCAGUGGCGAAGGCGGCUCACUGGCUCGAUACUGACGCUGAGGUGCGAAAGCGUGAGGAGCAAACAGG